AGGUGGGCACUCUAAGGAGACUGCCGGUGACAAACCGGAGGAAGGUGGGGAUGACGUCAAGUCAUCAUGGCCCUUACGGCCUGGGCUACACACGUGCUACAAUGGUCGGUACAAAGGGUUGCCAAGCCGCGAGGUGGAGCUAAUCCCAUAAAACCGAUCGUAGUCCGGAUCGCAGUCUGCAACUCGACUGCGUGAAGUCGGAAUCGCUAGGUAAUCGUGAAUCAGAAUGUCACGGUGAAUACGUUCCCGGGCCUU
rnacentral:rRNA from 1 species